rnacentral:rRNA from 1 species
AGAUUGAACGCUGGCGGCAUGCUUUACACAUGCAAGUCGAACGGGGUGGUGGGGCAACCUGCCAUUCAGUGGCGAACGGGUGAGUAAUGCAUCGGAACGUGUCCCGUAGUGGGGGAUAACCCGGCGAAAGCCGGACUAAUACCGCAUAUGCUCUACGGAGGAAAGUGGGGGGACCGCAAGGCCUCACGCUAUGGGGAGCCGGCCGAUGUCCGAUUAGCUUGUUGGUGGGGUAAUGGCCUACCAAGGCGACGAUCGGUAGCUGGUCUGAGAGGAUGAUCAGCCACACUGGGACUGAGACACGGCCCAGACUCCUACGGGAGGCAGCAGUGGGGAAUUUGGACAAGUGGGGCAACCCUGAUCCGAGCCAUGCCGCGUGCGGAAGAAGGCCUUCGGGUGUAACCGCUUUAGCCGGAAGAAAGGACAAGGAGAAUACCUUGUUCUUGACGGUACCGG